UAUUACCAAUGUUAUUUCAACUGAUCGGGCGGAGCUUACAUUUUAAUUUGCAUAAAGAAAGUCUAUUUGAAGAUGUGUGUGAUAAGGAUAAUUGCCGUUAUAAUUAUAACUGAUUUCUAAUCACCUAUCAGUGUCAUCAAAGGAAUUUACAAAAGAAUGACUGGACACUUCAUUGAUGAGUUAAUUCUAAAACACCAAUCUAUAGAUGGACUGGUUUAUUAUGAGCG
rnacentral:lncRNA from 1 species